CGGACGGGUGAGUAAUGUCUGGGAAACUGCCUGAUGGAGGGGGAUAACUACUGGAAACGGUAGCUAAUACCGCAUAACGUCGCAAGACCAAAGAGGGGGACCUUCGGGCCUCUUGCCAUCGGAUGUGCCCAGAUGGGAUUAGCUAGCAGGUGGGGUAAAGGCUCACCUAGGCGACGAUCCCUAGCUGGUCUGAGAGGAUGACCAGCCACACUGGAACUGAGACACGGUCCAG
rnacentral:rRNA from 1 species